UACGGGGGGGAGCAAGCGUUGUUCGGAUUUACUGGGCGUAAAGGGCGCGUAGGCGGCGCAACAAGUCACUUGUGAAAUCUCCGGGCUUAACCCGGAGCGGUCAAGUGAUACUGUCGUGCUAGAGUGCGGAAGGGGCUACUGGAAUUCUCGGUGUAGCGGUGAAAUGCGUAGAUAUCGAGAGGAACACCUGCGGCGAAGGCGGGUAGCUGGGCCGACACUGACGCUGAUGCGCGAAAGCCCAGGGGAGCGAACGGG
rnacentral:rRNA from 1 species